GUCUCUGUUCAGCGGGGAAGCAGCGAGGUUCCCUCCAGAUAGCGGUGAAGGGCGGCUUCCUAACUUUGUUUCCCAAGUCCCCUAACUUCGGAAUGCUUCUGCAUUGGUUCUUGCUCAGUGUCAUACCAGCGACUCCAAGAGUCAUGUCACCCACUUAGCAGGAGUACUUCUACUGAAAUGCCUUCGAAUUUCUCUUACUGGAUAUAUACCUACCAGCCGCUAGCAUGAAGAUGCCAGGACCGCUGCAAGUUAGCACUGGACAAAGUAGCAUCAACUUCUUCAUUUAGAGUUUCUUCAGUUAAAUUGCUGGGAUUUUCGACAAGGCUUUCCUUAUGUGGAUUAUUGGAGUGUGAUGCCCGAGAAUUCUCUACUUGUAGAAGCACGCCCACGGGACUGCAGAAGCCUUCACACCCACCCAGCACGCUCAGAUGGGAAUGAGUGAUGGCCAUCCAGUGACCAGCUGGAUCUGACUGCCUUACAAGACGCAUGUGUAUGAUUAAGAGAGAGACAUUCGUGACUCCCAGAUGUACCUCCUUCCUGUCCCACAGUGUUCCUGAAGGGAGUGAGUUAUGGGGUAACUUAUAACACAGCAGGCUCUUCCUCAAGAUAGCUCUUGUCAAAACAGGAAGACGAAACUCGGGUUUCCAUGAGGAGACCACAGCUUGGGAUCCUGUCUGGAUGUACAAGCAGAAGCAUCUUCAUACUUUUCCAUUUCUAACCAUCAUGCCUCACCCCACCCUCCCAAGGCGACAUCUGCAGAGAGGUGGAACCAUCUAGGGAGGCCUGCCACUGUUUGCUGAGCUCCGGGUGAGGAUGAAGACACUUUGACAUGGCCAGCUUCAGACUCGGGAUCUGUCGGUGUUAGCAGCCGAAGGUACAAGCUCAUUCCGUUUAUUUAAAUAUGAGUCAAUUGUUUUCUGAAGCAUGGGAAUAAAAAUAUGUGUGCUUUGAGAUAUACAA
rnacentral:lncRNA from 1 species